rnacentral:rRNA from 1 species
AUUGAACGCUGGCGGCAGGCCUAACACAUGCAAGUCGAACGAGUGGCGGACGGGUGAGUAAUGUCUGGGAAACUGCCUGAUGGAGGGGGAUAACUACUGGAAACGGUAGCUAAUACCGCAUACCAUCGGAUGUGCCCAGAUGGGAUUAGCUCGUAGGUGUGGUAACGGCUCACCUAGGCGACGAUCCCUAGAUGGUCUGAGAGGAUGACCGGCCACGCGGGAAUCGAGAGACGGUCCAGACUCCUACGGCAGGCGACAGUGGGGAAUAUUGCACAAUGGGCGCAAGCCUGAUGCAGCCAUGCCGCGUGUGUGAAGAAGGCCUUCGGGUUGUAAAGCACUUUCAGCGGGGAGGCGUUAGCCGCAGAAGAAACACCGGCUAACUCCGUGCCAGCCGCCGCGGUAAUUC